AUGGCUUUACGCCGGGCGACGGUUCAUUCAAAUUUCUGCCCUAUCAACUUUCGAUGGUAAGGUAGUGGCUUACCAUGGUUUCAACGGGUAACGGGGAAUUAGGGUUCGAUUCCGGAGAGGGGGCCGGAGGAACGGCCACCACAUCCAAGGAAGGCAGCAGGCGCGCAAAUUACACAAUUCCGAUACGGAGAUGUAGUGACAAUAAAUACUGAUACAGGGCUCUUUUGGGUCUUGUAAUUGGAAUGAGUACAAUUUAAAUCUCUUAACGAGGAACAAUUGGAGGGCAAGUCUGGUGCCAGCAGCCGCGGUAAUUCCAGCUCCAAUAGCGUAUAUUAAAGUUGUUGCAGUUAAAAAGCUCGUAGUUGAACCUUUGGCCUGGCUGGCAGGUCCGCCUCACCGCGUGCACUUGUCCGGCCGGGCCUUUUCUUCUGGAGAACCGCAUGCCCUUCACUGGGUGUGUUGGGGACCAGGACUUUUACUUUGAAAAAAUUAGAGUGUUCAAAGCAGGCCUUUGCUCGAAUACGUUAGCAUGGAAUAAUAGAAUAGGACGUGCGGUCCUAUUUUGUUGGUUUCUAGGACCGCCGUAAUGAUUAAUAGGGACAGUCGGGGGCAUCAGUAUUCAAUUGUCAGAGGUGAAAUUCUUGGAUUUAUUGAAGACUAACUACUGCGAAAGCAUUUGCCAAGGAUGUUUUCAUUAAUCAGUGAACGAAAGUUAGGGGAUCGAAGACGAUCAGAUACCGUCGUAGUCUUAACCAUAAACUAUGCCGACUAGGGAUCGGGCGGU
rnacentral:rRNA from 1 species